rnacentral:rRNA from 1 species
UACGGAGGGUGCAAGCGUUGUUCGGAAUUAUUGGGCGUAAAGGGCGCGUAGGCGGUAAUGUAAGUCAGAUGUGAAAUACUCCGGCUCAACCAGAGAACAGCAUCUGAAACUGCAUAACUAGAGUACAGAAGAGGGAAACGGAAUUCCCGGUGUAGAGGUGAAAUUCGUAGAUAUCGGGAGGAACACCAGUGGCGAAGGCGGUUUCCUGGUCUGAUACUGACGCUGAGGCGCGGAAGCGUGGGGAGCAAACAGGAUUAGAUACCCUGGUAGUCCACGCUGUAAACGGUGAACACUAGGUGUGGGAGGUGUAAUACCUUCCGUGCCGUAGCUAACGCGUUAAGUGUUCCGCCUGGGAAGUACGGCCGCAAGGUUGAA